rnacentral:rRNA from 1 species
CAGUAGCCGCGGGAAUACGAAGGGGGCUAGCGUUGCUCGGAAUGACUGGGCGUAAAGGGCGCGUAGGCGGCGGCCAAAGUCAGGCGUGAAAUUCCCGGGCUCAACCUGGGGGCUGCGUUUGAUACUUGGUUGCUUGAGUGGGGAAGAGGGUCGUGGAAUUCCCAGUGUAGAGGUGAAAUUCGUAGAUAUUGGGAAGAACACCGGUGGCGAAGGCGGCGACCUGGACCAUUUCUGACGCUGAUGCACGAGAGCUAGGGGAGCAAACAGGAUUAGAUACCCCGGUAGUCCCUGUCUCUUAUAC